rnacentral:rRNA from 1 species
AAUAGAUACCCCGGUAGUCCACGCCGUAAACGAUGAGUGCUAAGUGUUAGGGGGUUUCCGCCCCUUAGUGCUGCAGCUAACGCAUUAAGCACUCCGCCUGGGGAGUACGGUCGCAAGACUGAAACUCAAAGGAAUUGACGGGGGCCCGCACAAGCGGUGGAGCACGUGGUUUAAUUCGAAGCAACGCGAAGAACCUUACCAGAUCUUGACAUCCCGCUGACCGGUCUAGAGAUAGACUUUUCCCUUCGGGGACAGCGGUGACAGGUGGUGCAUGGUUGUCGUCAGCUCGUGUCGUGAGAUGUUGGGUUAAGUCCCGCAACGAGCGCAACCCUUGAUCUUAGUUGCCAGCAUUCAGUUGGGCACUCUAAGGUGACUGCCGGUGAUAAACCGGAGGAAGGUGGGGAUGACGUCAAAUCAUCAUGCCCCUUAUGACCUGGGCUACACACGUGCUACAAUGGACGGUACAGAGGGUCGCAACCCCGCGAGGGUGAGCUAAUCCCAUAAAAACCGUUCUCAGUUCGGAUUGUAGGCUGCAACUCGCCUA